rnacentral:lncRNA from 1 species
UUUUUUUUUUUUUGGAAACACGUGCAGGUCACGUGAUCCUACGGGAUUUUUUUUUACUUACUGGAUGUGAACCCGGGUUAACGGGUUUGGGGUAACGGGUUUAGAACUUACCCGUUACCACCCGUAUCCUUCUUCAACCUCCCGAACGAUUCGGGAGGGCGUUCCGGCCGCUUCGGUGGUGGUUGCGGAACGGCCGAACGGCAAUGUGACGGUGGCUCCGUUGUCGGCGGCGACAGGCGGUGGCUGGUCGUGGUGGCGGCCGGAAUCUUGCGCGCGGUGGUCGGCGGGUGCGUCGACAGUGCCGAGGGACAAGGUGGCCAACAGAUCGGCGACGCUCUUCCUCUUUCCGGCAGCGGGAGUCACACGCGGUCCUUCAACGCGCUCCGGUGUCCGUGGUCGACGUACGGCGUAAUACUCGUGCGGCCACAGAAAUCCAGGAAUCCGGCGACGCUCGGCCAUACACCGGUGGUGCCACGAUGGUGAAGACGCGGCAGAGGUGGUGGUGGCGUCGGUUGCAGGCUCCGGUGGAGGGCCAGAGGCGGCGCUGCAGGGAGGCCUCCGGGGAAUCUGAAGGAAAGAAGUGGUUGCGGCAGGGAGGGGCACAGUGGAACUGCUCGGCCACGGGGGAGCUUCCUUUUUUUUUUUUUUUUGCUCUGGUGAAAACACAGACCGAGAGAGAGGAAGGUUUGGAUGCGGGUGGCUGUCGAUCUGGGUCUUCACAGACUCGGCAGUGACCCCCCUUCUUUUUUUUUUGGUGAGCGGACUGACAGAGGAAAGGGGCCUGUUCUUGUUGUUGAUGGUAACCGAGGGAAAGAAAACUGUUGAUGGAUCGGGGCUUUGGCAGUAGAAGCAAAACCGAUUGCUCUGAUACCAAGNN